UGCCUGGCGGCGAUAGCGCGGUGGUCCCACCUGACCCCAUGCCGAACUCAGCAGUGAAACGCCGUAGCGCCGAUGGUAGUGUGGGGUCUCCCCAUGUGAGAGUAGGACACUGCUAGGC
rnacentral:rRNA from 2 species